GACGAACGCUGGCGGCGUGCCUAAUACAUGCAAGUCGAGCGGGGAUUAUGCUUGAUCGCUUCGGUGAGACGGCAUAUAUCCUAGCGGCGGACGGGUGAGUAACGCGUGGGUAAUCUACCUCGUAGUUCGGGAUAACAGGCCGAAAGGCUUGCUAAUACCGGAUGAGUUCAUGCUUAUGCAUAUAGGCAUGAAGAAAGGGCUAGCCCGCUAUGAGAUGAGCCCGCGUCCCAUUAGCUUGUUGGUGGGGUAAUGGCCUACCAAGGCAACGAUGGGUAGCCGGCCUGAGAGGGUGUACGGCCACACUGGGACUGAGACACGGCCCAGACUCCUACGGGGGGCAGCAGUAGGGAAUUUUGGACAAUGGGCGCAAGCCUGAUCCAGCAAUGCCGCGUGCAGGAUGAAGGCCUUGGGUUGUAAACUGCUUUGUUACGGAACGAAACGGUGAGCUCUAAUAAAGACUUGCUAAUGACGGUACCGUAAGAAUAAGACACCGG
rnacentral:rRNA from 1 species